CUCUCUCUCUUUCAUGAGUUGUUCAUCGAUUAGAAGAUGAGGAGACAACAUCUCGUUGGGGGAAGGCCAUGAUUGCAGAUGCAGAGCAUAAACAGAGCUGAGACAUGGCAUCCCCCCUGCAUAGAGUUAACAGCUCAUCUUUGCUGUGGAUGAUGAAUCUAUUUUCUUUGUGAGCAAGGAUGUUGACUUGUAUUGGGAGUUAAUACUCAGUCAGAAAAACCAUUGCAGGGGGUUGACCUUUGUAUGCUAUCCUGCUGGAAAUUGAGGGGAGGUAGGGUGUUUCUUUUCCAUUGCAUUUCAAAUUUAA
rnacentral:lncRNA from 1 species